GACAGAGGGUGCAAACGUUGUUCGGAAUUACUGGGCGUAAAGCGCGUGUAGGCGGCCCUGCAAGUCGGGUGUGAAAUCCCACAGCUCAACCGUGGAAGUGCACUCGAAACUGCAGGGCUAGAGUCCUGGAGAGGAAGGUGGAAUGCUUGGUGUAGAGGUGAAAUUCGUAGAUAUCAAGCGGAACACCGGUGGCGAAGGCGGCCUUCUGGACAGUGACUGACGCUGAGACGCGAAAGCGUGGGGAGCAAACAGG
rnacentral:rRNA from 1 species